UGCUGCUAAUGCAACCGCAAAGUUUGUUUUGCUAUUUGCCAAAUGGUUCGAUAUUAUGAAUUGUAGUCGAUCCAACCCAAUUAAAACGAUAAUCGCUUAAAUUGGUUGGAAAAUGAUUUUCUCAACUAUCUUUUAGAAUGGAAGGUGCUACUAUGAAUGAAUGUAACUUACUUUAUCCUCGAGUGGCUAAAAAGCGACAGUUGUUAUACCAAGGACACAUUUGCCCACAAGGGUAGCAACUAGCAACAACGAGCCUUGAACCCAUUACCUCUGGGUUAAAGGCAGGUGCGCUAAACAACUGUGCUAUGGCGCCAAUUCUUACGACCUAAUUUUGCAGAGGCUGGUCAAUGGAAACAACCCAAAUGAGCGUAAAAAGAGGUUAAUGGCACAGCCUACUUUUGACGGUCUCAUUUUUUCAACGAACAAUUAUAUAGCUCUGGUAAAACAGCUAUUAAAGGCAGGCAGUAGUUGUGUUUGCCUGAAUGUGUUCAGCCAAGAUGUUCUCGAGGCAGUAUUUGAAAACUUGAGAACUAUUGGCCAGAGGUCACAGAACCCAGAUGUGUUUCAGUCUGGUUAUGGGCUGGAACACAUCACAAACCGCAAAAUUAUAAAAAAAAAUAAAAGGAGGGAAUACUACUUUCGGAAAAAAAAUUACCACAUUAAUGUGCUCCAUAUUAUAAACUGCUUCUUGCGAAUAAUAUUCCAUUAUGUAUGGAUUAAGUCUGCAAGUAUUUCACAUGAUGUUUAGAUAAAACUGAUACGAGGUAUUAAAAAACCUCUAUUCGUACAAAGCAAAAUCAAUAACGCAAACGAAUUUAAGACAUUGAAGCGAUAGUUCUGGAUAUCAAACCCACAGAAAUGUGCAAUAAAACCAUAUUAUUACAGCUUCAAAUCUGUAUUAACUUGAAACAUCCUGUGCAUAUACAUUAAUAUCGUGGUAAAACAACGUUUCUUCGCACACAACUACACAGAAUUUUAUUUAAACCUGUACGAACACUGCUACAUAAUUGUUUACCGUCGUAAAUUACGUUAGGGGCAAAAGAGAAUAGCGAACCUGUCAUGCGUGACGGAGAUAAUGGAGUGGGGAGCUCUGGACUACUAUAAGAGAGUACUAUGGUGAAACUUUGACCAAUUUUAUUUUAUCAAUAAGAGAUUCCAAUUUGGAUAAUAUCAAAGAACUCUUUCAUAAAGAAGUAUAUGUAGGCUAUAUAUAAACAUAUUUGAUUUUUAUAUUGAUUUCAUGUCGGAGCAUGAAGUGGUUUCUAAAUUUCGGUAAGUUUUAUACAAUAAUU